rnacentral:lncRNA from 1 species
CGAUGAGUUCCAGAGCAUUUAUCCCGAGAUCCACAACUGCGUCGAGCUCGUCAGCGUCUAUCUCUUUCAGCUGGCACCGUCCACCUCGCACAGAUCCAGGAUUGCCGAGGCUUACAACUCGUGCCUCAUGUGGCAGAACUCGAGCAGCAUGCUGGAAGAAGCCGGAAGGAACGAUCGGAAGGAGCUCAUGGCUCUCGCAAUGAGCCAAGAGCCGGGAAGCCUGACGACCGAGACAGAACGAGCCAAAGAGAUACUCUGCUCCGUGCUCCUGGGAAACAAGUCAGUGAUUAACCACAAGGAACUCAAGCUGACAACACACCUGGGACAAGGAGCUUACGGAACCGUGUACGAAGCAAUCUGGCUCGGUCACAAGUUUGCAGUGAAAGUCUUCCCUCAAGGUGACACCAGCUUCGCCAAAGAGCUCGCGGUUCUUGAAGCGGACAAGCAUCCCAACGUGUUGCACAUCGCCAGCCAUUCUUUCGAUGCAGAGAAGCAGCGGUACUCGCUGGUGAUGGAGAAGAUGGACAUGGACCUGGCAAACUACCUCCUCAAGAAGAAGAAGUCUCUCCCGUUGCUGUCGAUCGUGGCAGUGAUGCUCCAAGUUGCUACUGGCAUGGCGUGGCUUCACUCGAAGAAUAUAAUCCACCGGGACCUCAAGCCGCAGAACAUCUUGGUUGGCGAAGAAGACAACGAUCUCGUGAGUAUCAGGAUUGCCGACUUUGGAGUCUCGAGGCCCGAUUUCAUCUCCUCCCUCAUCAGCGAAGCCACCGCCAAGCAAGGCACCAGAAACUUCAUGGCACCGGAAGUGUGGAGCGGCGAGCGCUACACGAAAAAGGCCGACGUUUACAGCUACGGGAUGAUGAUUUACCAGCUUGUCACUGGAAACGUUCCGUUCGAGGACGGGAUGGACAUGGAGCAAGUCCUUCGAGGCGAGCGUCCUGAGGUACCAGCAACCUGUCCAGAGUUCCUGUCGCAGCUCAUGCGGGAAUGCUGGAGCCACGAUGCAAAAGAGAGGCCUUCCUUCUCGGAUAUCUGUGAGCGGCUGAAGCAGCUCAAGACCAGGAUCAUCACUGGCACCGACUCCAUCGACGAGUUACGAGCCAAGUUGGUUGAAGCAGCCAGGUCAUCUUCCUCUUCUUCGUACUCGUCGUCUUCCUCGUCCUCGUCGCACAGCAUGAACCUGGAUUCUCCUGUCCAAGCACCUGAGGGGCUUUGGACCCAAAAUCCUCCAUCUCCCGUUGUCCAGGUAAACUCUUUUGCUUUUAGUAACUCCACCUUUAGUUUCAGCCGGCACCACACCGUCCUCAGCACGUCGCACCAGCAGCAAAGCCGGAUAACAGGGCCGAGCUCUUCGAACUGGUGAAGAACGGCCUCGUCAAAAACGCCUUUGAGAAAGCUCUGUCCCUGAACGAUCCUUCCACGUUCUGGUGGCUUUGCACCAAGGUAAUCCAUUCACGUCCUCCAGCUGCUCAUCAAAGCUUUGUCAGCUCAGGUGGAGGAAAGCGUCCUGCUCACCUUCAGUGAAUCAAUGCUCAUGGAAGUGGCCGAGCAAAUCAACACCAACUUCAAGGAAGACACUGCUCGCAGGUUGCUCUGGAUGGACGAGAUCCUGGCCAUCUUGAUGUUGGUCGACACAUCACCUCGGAUGCGGAGGAUAUUGGAGAAGCUUUCACAGAACCUCCACGGCAUGAUGGCUAUAACACCUUCAAAGAACGAGCUGGGGAUGAAGCUGGCGAGAGUGCUGGAAGAUACCAACUUGGGUCUUCAUGUACGUAUGAAACUCUUCGUGUUAUUCGUUUGAUUCAAAUCGUUUGUCGUCGCAGGAUAUCCGAGUUGAGAACAGCAAAGCUGAGAAGAAAGGGAAAAGAAAACAGGGACCUAUGAUGUGAAAUAAAACAGCUAUAUAUUUCCAGCGGAACACCGGUAGUUUCUGAGUAUUGAGAUCUAAUUUUCUGCCUGCCAAAAGUAUCAACCAUGCUUCACGAAAGAACCAUAAAGAACUUACCAAUUCCCAUUCGUAACUUCGUCUCAUCCUGCCGGGAUAAACGUGAAGGAAACUUACGAGAUAAAUAUCAAAGCACAAAGGUCUCACCAUUCUUUAGUUCUUAAACUCGAGUAGACGGUGAAGAUCCCAACCUUUUCGAUCUGGCAGCAGAGCCUUGGCAGCUUCCGCCGCAGCGCAGACACCAGUAGUUCUCGUAGGAUCAUCGCUCUCCGCUCAAAGAACGAUUUUGCCGCUUUCAACUUCUCGGGAUCCCCAUACUUGUAUGGCUUGUAGACGAUCCCGGCAGCUAGCCGUUGCUUCUUGAGCUUGGCUGGACGAACGUACGCAUCGCCCAGUCUCUUCAAGCGCUUCUGGAUCACUCUCCUCCGGUACACUUGCGGCUCGGGGAUCUUGGGAUCGGCGAGCGGCAGGCGAUCCGGAGGAGGCACAGCAACCCACCUGAAAAUCCGAUCGUUCGCGUCACCGCCUCCCGCUUUGUUGCGCUUGGCCGGAUUCUUGGAGCCGGCGCCCUCGCCGUGCAAGCACUGCGUGUGGACGAGGAAUUUGCUCCGGAGCCACACGAGUAAGCGCCUGCUCUUGAUCCCUUCCUUCGCGUGAGAUUGCGCGAUCCAAUCGGGCCAUAGGUGCGAACAUUCUGCGUCGGCAGAUCCUUGGGGCUCUUCUUGGCGUAGACCUCGUGGAUGUAGAGGCGCAACGAGCGAGCUCCACUUAAAGAACCCUAUCGAAAUAUCGAUUGCAGAACAGAAUCGAACUAGAACAAGAACAGCAUGAUCCAUUUCUAGUCUCUCGUAAGUCCACGAUUGACGAGGUCGAGCGCGCAACCUGUGCUCGCUGCGCCAAGAAGAAUCCGCCAAACUUUCUGGACAGGCGCUCAAGACGUUACGUGCAAACCACUGGUGGGCAUGCAGGAUAGUGUCGUCAAACGCUAUGCUACCGGGAUGCGAGAGUGAACUAGCAGGGCGGAAACUAGGGUAUCCUGGCCGUCCAAUCCUAAACAACCUGUUUGGAGUACUGAAACAAGAAAAGCCAUACACGGAUUUUCUUAUGCCUGAUUAAAGUAUCCCAGACAAGACUUAGAACUUAGAAUAUUCAAAAAGAAAAGUCCACGGUAGACACUCUGCAAAGAAAUGGAGCGGCGCUAGUGGUGAUCACCAACGAGCAUGGCAGCAGCGACUUUGCUCGAGGCGAUUCGAAUCGCGGACAAGGUUGGCACAAGAUCCACGAACACAAACUCGAGCAAGGUCUGUAGAAACCCAUGUAGGAUCCUCAUCGCGGCGGUCGGCUAUGUCCGAGACUACCUCAAGCAAAUCCAAGAUCUCAACUUCACGAGCAACGGGCCAGCCUUCGUGUGGGACGAAACCGUGGCUGUCCUUCACAGAGGCCUCCAUCUCCUCAAGUCAUGCCAAGAUGGCGAUUGGAUCGCCCGGAGCCUGCUGUUCGAGGAAAGCUGCGAUGAGUUCCAGAGCAUUUACCACGAGAUCUACAACUGCGUCGAGCUCGUCAGCGUCUAUCUCUUUCAGCUGGCACCGUCCACCUCGCACAGAUCCAGGAUUGCCGAGGCUUACAACUCGUGCCUCAUGAGGCAGAACUCGAGCAGCAUGCUGGAAGAAGCCGGAAGGAACGAUCGGAAGGAGCUCAUGGCUCUCGCAAUGAACCAAGAGCCGGGAAGCCUGACGACCGAGACAGAACGAGCCAAAGAGAUACUCUGCUCCAUGCUCCUGGGAAACAAGUCAGUGAUCAACCACAAGGAAUUGAAGCUGAGAACACACCUGGGACAAGGAGCUUACGGAACCGUGUACGAAGCAAUCUGGCUCGGUCACAAGUUCGCGGUGAAAGUCUUCGCUCAAGGUGACACCAG